AGAGUUUGAUCCUGGCUCAGGACGAACGCUGGCGGCGCGCCUAACACAUGCAAGUCGAACGAGCGAGAGAGAGCUUGCUUUCUCGAGCGAGUGGCGAACGGGUGAGUAACGCGUGAGGAACCUGCCUCAAAGAGGGGGACAACAGUUGGAAACGACUGCUAAUACCGCAUAAGCCCACAGCUCGGCAUCGAGCAGAGGGAAAAGGAGCAAUCCGCUUUGAGAUGGCCUCGCGUCCGAUUAGCUAGUUGGUGAGGUAACGGCCCACCAAGGCGACGAUCGGUAGCCGGACUGAGAGGUUGAACGGCCACAUUGGGACUGAGACACGGCCCAGACUCCUACGGGAGGCAGCAGUGGGGAAUAUUGCACAAUGGGGGAAACCCUGAUGCAGCGACGCCGCGUGGAGGAAGAAGGUCUUCGGAUUGUAAACUCCUGUUGUUGAGGAAGAUAAUGACGGUACUCAACAAGGAAGUGACGGCUAACUACGUGCCAGCAGCCGCGGUAAAACGUAGGUCACAAGCGUUGUCCGGAAUUACUGGGUGUAAAGGGAGCGCAGGCGGGAAGACAAGUUGGAAGUGAAAUCUAUGGGCUCAACCCAUAAACUGCUUUCAAAACUGUUUUUCUUGAGUAGUGCAGAGGUAGGCGGAAUUCCCGGUGUAGCGGUGGAAUGCGUAGAUAUCGGGAGGAACACCAGUGGCGAAGGCGGCCUACUGGGCACCAACUGACGCUGAGGCUCGAAAGUGUGGGUAGCAAACAGGAUUAGAUACCCUGGUAGUCCACACCGUAAACGAUGAUUACUAGGUGUUGGGGGAUUGACCCCCUCAGUGCCGCAGUUAACACAAUAAGUAAUCCACCUGGGGAGUACGACCGCAAGGUUGAAACUCAAAGGAAUUGACGGGGGCCCGCACAAGCAGUGGAGUAUGUGGUUUAAUUCGACGCAACGCGAAGAACCUUACCAAGUCUUGACAUCCCUUGACAGGCAUAGAAAUAUGUUUUCUCUUCGGAGCAAGGAGACAGGUGGUGCAUGGUUGUCGUCAGCUCGUGUCGUGAGAUGUUGGGUUAAGUCCCGCAACGAGCGCAACCCUUGUCACUAGUUGCUACGAAAGGGCACUCUAGUGAGACUGCCGGUGACAAACCGGAGGAAGGUGGGGAUGACGUCAAGUCCUCAUGGCCCUUAUGGGUAGGGCUUCACACGUCAUACAAUGGUCGGAACAGAGGGCAGCGAAGCCGUGAGGCGGAGCCAAUCCCAGAAAACCGAUCGUAGUCCGGAUUGCAGUCUGCAACUCGACUGCAUGAAGUCGGAAUCGCUAGUAAUCGCGGAUCAGCAUGCCGCGGUGAAUACGUUCCCGGGUCUUGUACACACCGCCCGUCAAACAAUGGGAGUGGUGUUUACCAGAAGUCGUUAGCCUAACCGCAAGGAGGGCGGCGACCACGGUGAGCACCGUGACUAAUGUUAAGUCGUAACAAGGUAGCCGUACCGGAAGGUGCGGCUG
rnacentral:rRNA from 1 species